GGGUCAGUAGGUUGGUCGUGCCACCGGUACGUACUGGUCUCACUGAUUCCUCCUUCCUGAAGAACCGUAAUGCCAUUAAUUUGGUGUUGCGGGGAAACAGGACUGUUACUUUGAAAAAAUUAGAGUGUUUAAAGCAAGCUAACGCUUGAAUACAUUAGCAUGGAAUAAUGAAAUAGGACGAUGGAUCCUACUGUGUUGGUUUCUAGGAUUGACGUA
rnacentral:rRNA from 1 species